rnacentral:rRNA from 2 species
CACUAUCGUUAACUGAAUACAUAGGUUAACGAGGCGAACCGGGGGAACUGAAACAUCUAAGUACCCCGAGGAAAAGAAAUCAACCGAGAUUCCCCCAGUAGCGGCGAGCGAACGGGGAGCAGCCCAGAGUCUGAAUCAGCUUGUGUGUUAGUGGAACGGUCUGGAAAGUCCGACGGUACAGGGUGAUAGUCCCGUACACCAAAAUGCACAGGCUGUGAACUCGAAGAGUAGGGCGGGACACGUGGUAUCCUGUCUGAAUAUGGGGGGACCAUCCUCCAAGGCUAAAUACUCCUGACUGACCGAUAGUGAACCAGUACCGUGAGGGAAAGGCGAAAAGAACCCCGGCGAGGGGAGUGAAAAAGAACCUGAAACCGUGUACGUACAAGCAGUGGGAGCACCUUCGGGUGUGACUGCGUACCUUUUGUAUAAUGGGUCAGCGACUUAUAUUCUGUAGCAAGGUUAACCGUAUAGGGGAGCCGCAGGGAAACCGAGUCUUAACUGGGCGUUAAGUUGCAGGGUAUAGACCCGAAACCCGGUGAUCUAGCCAUGGGCAGGUUGAAGGUUGGGUAACACUAACUGGAGGACCGAACCGACUAAUGUUGAAAAAUUAGCGGAUGACUUGUGGCUGGGGGUGAAAGGCCAAUCAAACCGGGAGAUAGCUGGUUCUCCCCGAAAGCUAUUUAGGUAGCGCCUCGUGAAUUCAUCUUCGGGGGUAGAGCACUGUUUCGGCUAGGGGGUCAUCCCGACUUACCAACCCGAUGCAAACUACGAAUACCGAAGAAUGUUAUCACGGGAGACACACGGCGGGUGCUAACGUCCGUCGUGAAGAGGGAAACAACCCAGACCGCCAGCUAAGGUCCCAAAGUCAUGGUUAAGUGGGAAACGAUGUGGGAAGGCACAGACAGCCAGGAUGUUGGCUUAGAAGCAGCCAUCAUUUAAAGAAAGCGUAAUAGCUCACUGGUCGAGUCGGCCUGCGCGGAAGAUGUAACGGGGCUAAACCAUGCACCGAAGCUGCGGCAGCGACACUAUGUGUUGUUGGGUAGGGGAGCGUUCUGUAAGCCUGCGAAGGUGACCUGUGAGGGUUGCUGGAGGUAUCAGAAGUGCGAAUGCUGACAUAAGUAACGAUAAAGCGGGUGAAAAGCCCGCUCGCCGGAAGACCAAGGGUUCCUGUCCAACGUUAAUCGGGGCAGGGUGAGUCGACCCCUAAGGCGAGGCCGAAAGGCGUAGUCGAUGGGAAACAGGUUAAUAUUCCUGUACUUGGUGUUACUGCGAAGGGGGGACGGAGAAGGCUAUGUUAGCCGGGCGACGGUUGUCCCGGUUUAAGCAUGUAGGCUGGUUGUCCAGGCAAAUCCGGAUAAUCAAGGCUGAGGUGUGAUGACGAGGCACUACGGUGCUGAAGUAACAAAUGCCCUGCUUCCAGGAAAAGCCUCUAAGCAUCAGGUAACAUCAAAUCGUACCCCAAACCGACACAGGUGGUCAGGUAGAGAAUACCAAGGCGCUUGAGAGAACUCGGGUGAAGGAACUAGGCAAAAUGGUGCCGUAACUUCGGGAGAAGGCACGCUGGUGUGUAGGUGAAGUCCCUGCGGAUGGAGCUGAGACCAGUCGAAGAUACCAGCUGGCUGCAACUGUUUAUUAAAAACACAGCACUGUGCAAACACGAAAGUGGACGUAUACGGUGUGACGCCUGCCCGGUGCCGGAAGGUUAAUUGAUGGGGUUAUCCGUAAGGAGAAGCUCUUGAUCGAAGCCCCGGUAAACGGCGGCCGUAACUAUAACGGUCCUAAGGUAGCGAAAUUCCUUGUCGGGUAAGUUCCGACCUGCACGAAUGGCGUAAUGAUGGCCAGGCUGUCUCCACCCGAGACUCAGUGAAAUUGAACUCGCUGUGAAGAUGCAGUGUACCCGCGGCAAGACGGAAAGACCCCGUGAACCUUUACUAUAGCUUGACACUGAACAUUGAGCCUUGAUGUGUAGGAUAGGUGGGAGGCUUUGAAGCGUGGACGCCAGUCUGCGUGGAGCCAACCUUGAAAUACCACCCUUUAAUGUUUGAUGUUCUAACGUUGGCCCCUUACCGGGGUUGCGGACAGUGUCUGGUGGGUAGUUUGACUGGGGCGGUCUCCUCCCAAAGCGUAACGGAGGAGCACGAAGGUUAGCUAAUCCUGGUCGGACAUCAGGAGGUUAGUGCAAUGGCAUAAGCUAGCUUGACUGCGAGCGUGACGGCGCGAGCAGGUGCGAAAGCAGGUCAUAGUGAUCCGGUGGUUCUGAAUGGAAGGGCCAUCGCUCAACGGAUAAAAGGUACUCCGGGGAUAACAGGCUGAUACCGCCCAAGAGUUCAUAUCGACGGCGGUGUUUGGCACCUCGAUGUCGGCUCAUCACAUCCUGGGGCUGAAGUAGGUCCCAAGGGUAUGGCUGUUCGCCAUUUAAAGUGGUACGCGAGCUGGGUUUAGAACGUCGUGAGACAGUUCGGUCCCUAUCUGCCGUGGGCGCUGGAGAAUUGAGGGGGGCUGCUCCUAGUACGAGAGGACCGGAGUGGACGCAUCACUGGUGUUCGGGUUGUCAUGCCAAUGGCACUGCCCGGUAGCUAAAUGCGGAAGAGAUAAGUGCUGAAAGCAUCUAAGCACGAAACUUGCCCCGAGAUGAGUUCUCCCUGAGACUUUAAGUCUCCUGAAGGAACGUUAAAGACGAUGACGUUGAUAGGCCGGGUGUGUAAGCGCAGCGAUGCGUUGAGCUAACCGGUACUAAUGAACCGUGAGGCUUAACCUUACAACGCCGAAG